GAGUGAACGCUGGCGGUAGGCCUAACACAUGCAAGUCGAACGGCAGCACAGUAAGAGCUUGCUCUUACGGGUGGCGAGUGGCGGACGGGUGAGGAAUACAUCGGAAUCUACUUUUUCGUGGGGGAUAGCGUAGGGAAACUUACGCUAAUACCGCAUACGACCUACGGGUGAAAGCAGGGGAUCUUCGGACCUUGCGCGAUUGAAUGAGCCGAUGUCGGAUUAGCUAGUUGGCGGGGUAAAGGCCCACCAAGGCGACGAUCCGUAGCUGGUCUGAGAGGAUGGUCAGCCACACUGGAACUGAGACACGGUCCAGACUCCUACGGGAGGCAGCAGUGGGGAAUAUUGGACAAUGGGCGCAAGCCUGAUCCAGCCAUACCGCGUGGGUGAAGAAGGCCUUCGGGUUGUAAAGCCCUUUUGUUGGGAAAGAAAAGCAGCAGGUUAAUACCCCGCUGUUCUGACGGUACCCAAAGAAUAAGCACCGGCUAACUUCGUG
rnacentral:rRNA from 1 species